rnacentral:rRNA from 1 species
UAGUAACGGCGAGUGAAGUAGGAAAAGCUCAAAUUUAAAACCAAAUUAUUUUAUAAUUUGAAUUGUAGUUUAUAGAAAUAAUAUCUUUUAAAUUGAUUAUAUUUAAAUUUACUGGAAAGUAAUAUCAAAGAGGGUGAUAAUCCCGUAUAAAAUAUAAUUUAUUUAUGAUUAAGAUUUAUUUUCAAAGAGUCAGAUUGUUUGGGAAUGCAAUCUAAAAUGGGUGGUAAACUCCAUCUAAAGCUAAAUAUUGAUAAGAGACCGAUAGCGAACAAGUACCGUGAGGGAAAGAUGAAAAGAACCUUGAAAAGGGGGUUAAAAAGUACGUGAAAUUGUUAUAAGGGAAACAUUUAAAAUUAGUGGUGUGAGUAUAGAAAUCAGUUUAUCAUUUAUGAUUAAUGUAAUUUCUAAAUUCAUAGUCAAUAUCAAUUUAAUUAAUUUGAAAAAUUUAUUAUAAAGGUAGAUAAUUUCGAUUAUCACUUAUAGUAUAAUAAAUAUAAAAUUAAUUAGAUUGAGGAUUAUAGGGAGAGUCUAGUAUUAAGGAUUAAUUAAAUUAAUAAUUUAAAGACAAUCUAAUUGAUUUAAAUUAUCUAACUUAAUUAUAUUCUUAAACUAAUAUCACCAUUUUGGAUAUUGACAAAAUAAUUUUAAAUGACCCGUCUUGAAACACGGACCAAGGAGUCUAACAUGUAUGCAAGUAUAUGAAAUUAGAAUAAAUUCAUAUGCAAAAUGAAAGUGAAUUCAUGGUAGGAUACUCUUAAGAGUUGCACUAUCAACCGAUCUUGAAGAUUAUUUUUGAAAGAUUUGAGUUAGAGCAAAUAUGUUGGGACCCGAAAGAUGGUGAACUAUGCUUGAAUAGGGUAAAGUCAGAGGAAACUCUGAUGGAGGCUCGUAGCGAUUCUGACGUGCAAAUCGAUCGUCAAAUUUGAGUAUAGGGGCGAAAGACUAAUCG